rnacentral:tRNA from 1 species
AUCAGGAUAGCUUAAGUUUAAAGCUUAAUAUUGAAGAUAUUAGUAUAAGAUUACUUUUCUGAUA